GUCACAGUAUAAGCAGUGUUUAGGUGAUACGGUCACAGUAUGAGCAGUGUUUAGGAGAUACGGUCACAGUGUGAGCAGUGUUUAGGAGAUACUGUCACAGUAUAAGCAGUGUUUAGGAGGUACAGUCACAGUAUGAGCAGUGUUUAGGAGAUACGGUCACAGUAUGAGCAGUGUUUAGGAGAUACGGUCACAGUGUGAGCAGUGUUUAGGAGAUACGGUCACAGUAUGAGCAGUGUUUAGGAGAUACGGUCACAGUAUGAGCAGUGUUUAGGUGAUACGGUCACAGUAUGAGCAGUGUUUAGGAGAUACGGUCACAGUGUGAGCAGUGUUUAGGAGAUACGGUCACAGUAUGAGCAGUGUUUAGGAGGUACGGUCACAGUGUGAGCAGUGUUUAGGAGAUACGGUCACAGUAUGAGCAGUGUUUAGGUGAUACGGUCACAGUAUGAGCAGCGUUUAGGAGGUAUGGUCACAGUGUGAGCAGUGUUUAGGAGAUACGGUCACAGUAUGAGCAGUGUUUAGGUGAGACGGUCACAGUAUGAGCAGUGUUUAGGAGAUACGGUCACAGUGUGAGCAGUGUUUAGGUGAUACGGUUACAGUAUGAGCAGUGUUUAGGAGGUACGGUCACAGUGUGAGCAGUGUUUAGGUGAUAGGGUCACAGUAUGAGCAGUGUUUAGGUGAUACGGUCACAGUAUAAGCAGUGUUUAGGUGAUACGGUUACAGUAUGAGCAGUGUUUAGGUGAGACGGUCACAGUAUGAGCAGUGUUUAGGUGAGACGGUCACAGUAUGAGCAGUGCGCAGGUUGUUUGUUUGGCUGGCUGGGCGUCUGCGCAGUGUGUGAGGCUGGCUGGGCGAGUGCGCAGUGUGUGAGGCUGGGCUGGCUGGGCUGGCUGGGCGCAUGCACAGUGUGUGAGGCUGGGCUGGCUGGGGGCGUGCGUGAGGCUGGGCGGGCUGAGCGCGUGCGCAGUGUGUGAGGCUGGGCUGGCUGGGCGCGUGCACAGUGUGUGAGGCUGGCUGGGCGCGUGCGCAGUGUGUGAGGCUGGCUGGGCGCAUAUGCAGGUUGUUUGGCUGGGCGCCUGCGCAGUGUGUGAGGCUGGCUGGGCGCGUGCGCAGUGUGUGAGGCUGGGCUGGGUGCCUGCGCAGUGUGUGAGGCUGGGCUGAGUGUGUUCGCAGUGUGUGAGGCUGGGCUGGGCGCGUGCGCAGUGUGUGAGGCUGGCUGGGUGCGUGCGCAGUGUGUGAGGCUAGGUGCGUGUGCAGUGUGUAAGGCUGGGCUGGGCACGUGCGCAGUG